rnacentral:rRNA from 1 species
UACAGAGGGUGCGAGCGUUAAUCGGAAUUACUGGGCGUAAAGCGUGCGCAGACGGUCAUGUAAGUCGGGUGUGAAAGCCCCGGGCUCAACCUGGGAAUUGCAUUCGAGACUGCAUGGCUAGGGUGCGGAAGAGGGAAGCGGAAUUUACGGUGUAGCAGUGAAAUGCGUAGAUAUCGUAAGGAAGGCCGAGUGGCGAAAGCGAGACUCUGGCUAGAUGCUGACGCUGGAGGCACGAAAGCUGGGGGAGCAAACGGG